rnacentral:rRNA from 1 species
GCCCUUAGAGUUUGAUCCUGGCUCAGGAUGAACGCUGGCGGCGUGCCUAAUACAUGCAAGUCGAACGAAUCUCUUUUAGAGAUGAGUGGCGAACGGGUGAGUAAUACAUAGGUAACCUGCCCCUGUGCGGGGGAUAACAGGAGGAAACUCCUGCUAAUACCGCAUAGCCAUGAGCACCGCAUGGAGCUCAUGCCAAAUAUCCUUUAUGGGAUAGCGCAGGGAUGGACCUAUGGCGCAUUAGCUGGUUGGCGGGGCAACGGCCCACCAAGGCAACGAUGCGUAGCCGGCCUGAGAGGGCGGACGGCCACAUUGGGACUGUGACACGGCCCAGACUCCUACGGGAGGCAGCAGUAGGGAAUUUUCGGCAAUGGGGGAAACCCUGACCGAGCAACGCCGCGUGAGCGAAGAAGGCCUUCGGGUCGUAAAGCUCUGUUGUAAAGGAAGAACGGCGCAUACAGGAAAUGGUAUGCGAGUGACGGUACUUUACCAGAAAGCCACGGCUAACUACGUGCCAGCAGCCGCGGUAAUACGUAGGUGGCGAGCGUUAUCCGGAAUCAUUGGGCGUAAAGAGGGAGCAGGCGGCCGCAAGGGUCUGUGGUGAAAGCCCGAAGCUAAACUUCGGUAAGCCAUGGAAACCGGGCGGCUAGAGUGCGGAAGAGGAUCGUGGAAUUCCAUGUGUAGCGGUGAAAUGCGUAGAUAUAUGGAGGAACACCAGUGGCGAAGGCGACGGUCUGGGCCGCAACUGACGCUCAUUCCCGAAAGCGUGGGGAGCAAAUAGGAUUAGAUACCCUAGUAGUCCACGCCGUAAACGAUGGUCACUAAGUGUCGGGGGUCAAACCCCGGUGCUGCAGUCAACGCAAUAAGUGACCCGCCUGAGUAGUACGUUCGCAAGAAUGAAACUCAAAGGAAUUGACGG